ACGGAUUUACGACGGAAUUUCUAUUAACGACGGCCCCCUUUUAUGACGGGUUCGCGACAGGAAAUCCCGUCGUUAAUCAACGAUUAUUGGCCUUUCGCGACGGGAUUUCCCGUCGUCAAUAGUACAAUUUCUUGUAGUGGGAGGGAGUAUUAUUUUUGUAAUUUGUGAGCUUCAUACUGAAACUUGGUUUCAACUUACAUGUACGAAAAUUCUACAAUAAAUGUCGUGCACCGCUAUUUACUACUAAUUAUAUAAAUGUCGUGUAUCGCUAUGCAAUACUGGGUACAUCAAUUUACUAAUUUAUUAAAGUUCUGCAGAUCUCUAUUAUAUAAAGGAACAGCUGAGGGCGUUUUGGUAACUCAACUUUUCGUGUCCCCAAGCAAAAAGACAAAUAUAGCCUUCACACUUCAGUUGCAACCCAAACCCUUCGGCCUUCCGCCUUCGCUCUCCCCUCCCGUUUCCUUCUCUCUCCUCCCUCCCUGCAACACAAACCCUUUGCUCUCCCUCCCGUUUUCUUCUCUCUCCUCCCUCCCGUUCGUUUUCUUCUCUCUCCUCCAUCAGAUUCUCUCCUUCAAUCUUAUUCAUCUACUGCAAAAUCAACAUGCUCGAAAAAAUCCAUACAAAAAAAAAAAUUGAGAUCUAAUUGGUGAAUGGCGGGUUCCAAUUAUCUGGGGUAGAAAGGGAAGAACGAGCUCAGAAUCACGCUACAUCCCUCUCUCUUAGCUCCAUUGAUUGAUGAUUAAGAUUUGGCGAAUAAAUCGAGUUACAGAAUCACGAUCUUUCUCUCUCAGUUGCUGCCACUGGAGUUAUGAUUAUUGGGGAUGAUUUAUCCAAUCUGGUUCUGAGGCUUCGUGGUGGAAUAUUUAUUGAACCUUCUCUGAUGGCCCUGGCUAUGAAAUUCAACCAAGAGAAGAUGAUAUGCCGCAAAUUGUGGUUUUGAUUACGUUGGAAAACAAAUCUCAAAUUUUGAAUGAUUAUCGUGAUGAUGUUUUAUCCAAAAAAAUUCCAGAAGACAGGGAGCAGUUUUUUUACCUAACUACGAGUAUUUUACCAGUUUCAGAAAAUCCUGAAAGCGAAUGGUGACAUUCAACUGUAAGUUUAGAACUGAAGGCAUCCCCAAGGAUUCUCGCACUCACAUAACAAGAUUCACAUCCGAUUUUCAGUAUCGCAUGUUGGCUCUUCGCCAAGAUGUGAGGUAAACCAUGAGGACUUCAAUGAAGGCAUCAUUCAAGUCCAAGCAAAGAAGAAAGCAAGCCUAAAUUACUAUGCUGGUCUCACUUUUCGUUUAUUAAUUUUUGUUUUUGGAGUUUAUAGUAAUUGUUCUGCAAAUAAAACAGUGACAUUGUAAGGAUAGGAUUUUAGUUGUUCUCCUAUUUUUCUUGUAAUGCUAUGUACAAAAUUUUUAGUCAACUAAUUAAUUAU